rnacentral:rRNA from 1 species
CCUACGGGCGGCAGCAGUGGGGAAUAUUGGACAAUGGGCGAAAGCCUGAUCCAGUCAUGCCGCGUGUGUGAAGAAGGCCUUCGGGUUGUAAAGCACUUUCAGUGGGGAAGAAAGCCUUGGGGCUAAUACCCUCGAGGAAGGACAUCACCCACAGAAGAAGCACCGGCUAACUCCGUGCCAGCAGCCGCGGUAAUACGGAGGGUGCGAGCGUUAAUCGGAAUUACUGGGCGUAAAGCGCGCGUAGGCGGUCUGAUAAGCCGGUUGUGAAAGCCCCGGGCUCAACCUGGGAACGGCAUCCGGAACUGUCAGGCUAGAGUGCAGGAGAGGAAGGUAGAAUUCCCGGUGUAGCGGUGAAAUGCGUAGAGAUCGGGAGGAAUACCAGUGGCGAAGGCGGCCUUCUGGACUGACACUGACGCUGAGGUGCGAAAGCGUGGGUAGCAAACAGGAUUAGAUACCCGGGUAGUC